rnacentral:lncRNA from 1 species
UUCCAUGGUUACAUGAUUUAUAUUCUUUCCCUCCCUCCUCCAAUAGCCAAGGAGCAAUUCCACUGGGUUUUACAUGUGUCAUUGAUCAAGAUAAGGAACUGAUUUUUAAAACUUCAUAUUUCCUCAUUUGCUCUAUACUCUUUUGAGGGGAAUUCCACAGGAGAGAGAAGAGAUACUUGGAAGGACAAGAAAAACUUUCCACCUAAACUGGGGACCCAGUUCAUGGAGUCCCAAGGGAUUUGAGCCAUUCCAACAACUUGACCCCUUCAAGACAGGAAGACAGGCAGUGAUGAUACUAGCUACAACACCAGCUCAAGACCAGCAGUCAACUGUGGAGCUGCCUUCUGCCCCAAUCCGACCAUUGACCUAUAGAUGAAAAAAGAGAAGUCUCUCUCUUCCUUUUAGGGUCAAGCUCAGAAGAAAUAUUCCUUUCUUUCACCACCUAGAGUUUUUUCUUUUUGUUUGUUUCCCAUCCCACUGCUACUGUCUUUGUAUACUGGGUAAAUAUUCAAAAGUCAGUAGGAAAGUUAAUUAAUUUGGACUCAAAUUUGUUUUGCCAGUGGCAUGCAGCUUUCUCCUGUAUGCACCUCUCAUACUUCAGCUGCUACAGAUUUUAGACACACUCGAGACUCCUUCACAAUAGCUUCCCUACUUUUUCAGCAUUGAUCCGGAGACUCACAUGAAAAAGGGAGGAGAUGGGUGGCAUCAGGCCUUAUUUAGGGUGGGUUAGUGGAAGGAUGAGCAGAUAGGCAGGCUCUCCUCAGUGACAGACUAUAACCUCUCAUUAAGUCAGGUAGAAUGAGAAAAAAAAAAGUUGGAACUGCUGUAGUUGUGUGACCGCAAGAUAUGAAGUGAGCAGAACCAGGAGAACAUUGUACACAGGAACAACAACAAUGUAUGAUGAUCAGCCAAGAAUGAUAACAUGAUGAAAAAAUAUAUUUACUGCCAUAGAAGGAACAGAGAGAGCCCUAACACAGAUUGAAGAAUACCAUUCUUCCUUUUGUUUCCUCCAUGAAUGUUUCUCCAGUGUAAACAAUAUGGGUCUUUUUUCACAUGAACAUGGAAAUAUGUAUUAUAUUAAAAUAUAUGUUCAACCUACAUCAUAUUAUUUGCCUUCUUGGAGAGGGGGGAAGGAUGGGAGGGAAAGAACAUGAAUUGUAAAAUGUCAGAAAAUAAGUAUUAAAAAUUGUAUCGAUUGUAAUCUGGAAAGUAAAAAUUUUAAAUAAAAAAAGAUAUAAUUUUCUCUUCCUGGG